AAAGUGGCGAACGGCUGAGUAACACGUGGGCAACCUGCCCUUUGCACUGGGAUAGCUCGGGAACCGAGGUUAAUACCGGAUACUCCAUAUUUGUCGCAUGGCGAAUAUGGGAAAGCUCCGGCGGCAAAGGAUGGGCCCGCGGCCUGUUAGCUAGUUGGUGGGGUAGUGGCCUACCAAGGCAAUGAUGGGUAGCCGGGUUGAGAGACCGACCGGCCAAGAUUGGGACUGAGACACGGCCCAGACUCCUACGGGAGGCAGCAGGC
rnacentral:rRNA from 1 species